rnacentral:misc_RNA from 1 species
CAGAGAAUAUGCCCUUCGGGGUAGAUCUCCUACCCUUUGCUUACUUUACUUUUGUUGCUUUGGCAAGCCCGUCUACCGACCACCGGCUUUUUGCUGGUCAGUGCUUGCCAGAGGAUCUCAAAUUCUUAAUAUAAUAUUGUCUGAGUACUAUAUAAUAGUUA